rnacentral:rRNA from 1 species
UGGAUCCAGACUUUGAUCCUGGCUCAGGAUGAACGCUGGCGGCGUGCCUAACACAUGCAAGUCGAGCGAGAAGCUGCUGACGGAUACUCCGGUUGACGGAGGCAGUGGAAAGCGGCGGACGGGUGAGUAACGCGUAGGCAACCUGCCCUUUGCACAGGGGUAGCCAUUGGAAACGAUGAUUAAAACCUGAUAACACCAUUUGGUUACAUGAGCAGAUGGUCAAAGAUUUAUCGGCAAAGGAUGGGCCUGCGUCUGAUUAGCUAGUUGGUAGGGUAACGGCUUACCAAGGCGACGAUCAGUAGCCGACCUGAGAGGGUGAUCGGCCACAUUGGAACUGAGACACGGUCCAAACUCCUACGGGAGGCAGCAGUGGGGAAUAUUGCACAAUGGGCGAAAGCCUGAUGCAGCAACGCCGCGUGAAGGAAGAAGGCCUUCGGGUCGUAAACUUCUGUCCUAGGGGAGGAAGAACUGACGGUACCCAAGGAGGAAGCCCCGGCUAACUACGUGCCAGCAGCCGCGGUAAUACGUAGGGGGCAAGCGUUAUCCGGAAUUAUUGGGCGUAAAGAGUACGUAGGUGGCAACUUAAGCGCAGGGUAUAAGGCAAUGGCUCAACCAUUGUUCGCCCUGCGAACUGGGAUGCUUGAGUGCAGGAGAGGAAAGCGGAAUUCCUAGUGUAGCGGUGAAAUGCGUAGAUAUUAGGAGGAACACCAGUGGCGAAGGCGGCUUUCUGGACUGUAACUGACACUGAGGUACGAAAGCGUGGGGAGCAGACAGGAUUAGAUACCCUGGUAGUCCACGCCGUAAACGAUGAGCACUAGGUGUCGGGGUCGCAAGACUUCGGUGCCGGAGUUAACGCAUUAAGUGCUCCGCCUGGGGAGUACGCACGCAAGUGUGCAACUCAAAUGAAUUGACGGA